UUAUGGCUCAGGAUGAACGCUAGCUACAGGCUUAACACAUGCAAGUCGAGGGGCAGCAUUGGAGUAGCAAUACUCAGAUGGCGGCCGGCGCACGGGUGAGUAACACGUAUCCAACCUGCCGCUUACUCGGGGACUAGCCUUUCGAAAGAAAGAUUAAUACCCGAUGGUAUAAAGAGUUCGCAUGUUCUCUUUAUUAAAGAAUUUCGGUAAGCGAUGGGGAUGCGUUCCAUUAGAUAGUUGGCGGGUAACGGCCCACCAAGUCUACGAUGGAUAGGGGUUCUGAGAGGAAGGUCCCCCACAUUGGAACUGAGACACGGUCCAAACUCCUACGGGAGGCAGCAGUGAGGAAUAUUGGUCAAUGGACGAGAGUCUGAACCAGCCAAAGUAGCGUGAAGGAUGACUGCCCUAUGGGUUGUAAACUUCUUUUAUAAGGGAAUAAAGUGAGGGACGUGUCCCUUUUUGUAUGUACCUUAUGAAUAAGGAUCGGCUAACUCCGUGCCAGCCGCGGC
rnacentral:rRNA from 1 species